rnacentral:lncRNA from 10 species
GGCCCCGGCCGAAACCCUGCUCUUCGGGCCCUACAACCCGACUUCUUUAGAAGCCGAUUGGCCGUCUCAGGCCCGCCCCGAGGCCCUGCCACUGGAGUGUCCCCAUGAAAUCCGGUGGCUGCUGCCGGGACUUAGAGGCUUUUGUGUCUGAGGAACCAGGAACGCGCGAGGCACGGGCUCCUGCUCUGCUCCCCGAGAUGGCUUGGCUGUGGGGAGGGUCGGCCUACCACCCCAGAGACCUAGGACGGAAAAGCGACCGAGAAACUUGGCUCCCUGCCCACUCUAGAGCGCGUCUGGCCCCGGGGCACCACCCAGGUGGUGCUGCCUGGGAGGAAAGGCGGCGGAGCUGGGACUAGUUUGUUUUUACUGGAGACGCGCCUCCCUCCCUCCCCGCCCCUCACUUCCUGAUUGAAAGUACCUGAGGCAGGCCAGGGACUAGGGAAGGUGGCAGCUGGACAAAGGUAUGAAGGAAGGACGAGAUGAGGCACAGGUCCUGGUAUUGGAAAGAGGCAGAGGUACCUCGGAAGCAUGCCAUAGAGGUUAGACGGGACCUAAGAGGGCAUCUGGUCCAACCGGAUUCGUGUUACCAGCGAGUAAACUGAGGCCAGGAGAGGGACUGCUACGAGCUGCUCCAGCCUAUCACCUAUAAAGACUACAGUCCCUUUGUAAAAUACCAUACAGCUCUCGGAGAACUCCCAGUUGGCGCUGCAGGAUAAAAUCCAAACUUGUUGGCAUAGCAUUCCAGCCACUUGUUCACUUACCUUUCCCAUUUGAGCUCCUAGGAAUAAACAGAAAAACAUUUCAUUUUCUAAAUAUCACCAGAUAACUUCACUUUUGGUAACUUGAAUUAUUAAAAAAGUCCUACCGUCCCUCAUCUCUUGCCACUUCCCCAACAUUACUGGAGGCUCUGGCUACAAAUAAUUUGUUUUCCUUGACUACUCAACUUUCUUUGGAUUAUUUACUUUUUCUCUAAGUUUCUUUACUCCUUUUUGCUUUGUUCAUUCUUUUGUCUGUAUCUGAAAUGUCCUGAAUCACCACCUCCCCCACUUAAAGAAAACCAGG